ACAUCGUUUCUAGAAAAACCCGUCCUCCCUGAGAAAAUUUCUUUGCAUCUGUUUGUCUUCUUAAUAUUUUUUAUUUUCAACUUUUAAUUCCCUCCAUUCAUUCCUUUCCCUUGCAUUCAUUUCUCCGCGUCUGUUCCUCUUUCCUCUUUCUCCUCACAUCUUUUCCUCUUCUCCAUGUCACUCUGUUCCUUUUCCCCGCAUUCCACUCCAUGGAAAGAGCUACACAUUUGAAUGGAAGCAGAAUCGCAUUUGGAUGGAAGCGGUGGCGGAGGGGCUAUGGGGACUCGCAGAGUACCAUGGGAAGAGAGGGGAAAUAGGGAAAGCAGUGAAAUGCCUCGAGGUAUUCCGCCGCAGAAAUAGGUCUUGCACAAGGGACUCGAGCUCAUUGCGUCCAUUGGAGAAAGAUCGGUCGUGGCGCGUUUGGCACCGUGAUUCUCGUAAACCACAAAAGCGAAGAAGAAGAAGUAUGUGUUGAAGAAAAUCAGGCUCGCGCGACAGACUGAACGAUGCAAAAGAUCUACUGAUCAAGAGACUGCUCUUAUUGCUCGAAUUUAGCAUCCCUACAUUGUGCAAUUUAAAGAGGCUUGGGUUGAGAAGGUUAGAGAAAGCACCCUGUUUCAAUUGUUAUAUUGCAUAUGCAGUAAUGUACUUUUUGCUAUGUUUGCAUUGUUACUGGAUACUGUGAAGGUGGAGACAUAUGAGUGUAUUGGAUAAUACCUAUGAAGUCCUAGUGUCAUGUGAAGUUCAUGGGUGGUGUAUGUCCAAUUACUUACUAUUUUGUUAUGUUUGGAACUUGCUACUUUCUUUUUCUUCUUUAAAUCCAUUUUUUUUUAAAUGAUGUUAGGAUUCAUGCUAACUAUUAUUCUGGAAACAUCCAUCAUAGCUAUUGUCUUGCUUGUGUUGCUAGGUUCCUUCUAUGUGGUAAUUGCCUAUUAUCAUAUGCAAAUGUCUUCAUCAUUGGCAUGCAUUUGAAUCUGAGCUCACAACCAUAUUUGAUUACAUAGUUGAUGGAAUUAAUGAUGUCAUUAAGGUCAAUAUUUUGCUAUUAUAUUACUGUAUAUAUUUGAAUUGUGGGAUGGAUGCUUCUGUAAUUUUUAUGAGAUUUAGUUCAUUAGAGUGACAUCUUUUUUUUCUUAUAAUACUUUUUAGAUAGUAUCUACUUAACUUGUGCAUGAGCUUUGGCACCUAAA